rnacentral:lncRNA from 1 species
UAGUUGCUAUACCAAGAGCACCAAAUGGUGAUGUUAACAGAUUAGAACAAAUAAAAAACAUCAGGUACCCUGUAAAGAAUAGUGGACACAGACAAAGUAGUUCCCCCCCUCGGGAAGCUUACAUUCAUCCCAUGAGGAUACAACAUUGACCCAGAUAAAUUUAUUAAGAAGCAACUUGAGGAGGCAAAGGACACAAGCACCCUUGGCCAACAGGGAAGGGAGAUUUGAUAGAAGAGGUGAGACCUGAGAUGAGCCUUGAAGGAAAAUGAGAGUAGACCAGGAACCGAGAGCCUUAGGGAACAGGAAGUACCCAGAAGCAUGGGCAAACUGGAGAAAGAGCUUUCUAAAUCCAGCCAGAUCCUGUAUAUCUCGGGCUGUCAGGAACCCUCUUCCUUAGAGCACAUUCAGACAGAACAGUUUUGCAUUAAUUUAGGGCUAAUUGUCAGGUAAUGAAUUCGAUUUGGCUCACCAUAUUGAAAUCCCUUCUGCUCCCAGCUGAACACCAGUAAAUCAUUUGCAUCACAAAUCUCCUCUUUUCUGAAUGCUCAGCUUGCCUGGGCUGUUGCUCAGUCCUUCUCCUGUUCUCUGGUCUUUGAAAUCAGUUGAAAAAUCACGUUUUCUUUUUAAAGGGGGCAAUGUGGAGGCACAUCAGUUAAAGUCAGUCUUGCAGAAUUGGCUCUGAAAGUUCUGGAAAAUCCAAUUCAAAUUUUGCCCUGGACCACUCCUGCUGAGCUGUUUGAGAAUGGAUAGUGUUGGAGACCAUGAAGGAUACACCAUCUUGAAAAAAUCCAUCAGUAUGCGGUUUGAGAUCCUUAAGAAAUCUGGUGUAUGGGAAUAUAGCAGAGAGUCAUUGAAGUCCACCAGCAAGACAAAAGUCAGGAUGAGUGGUGUGGCUUGGGUUGCAUUAGAUGACCUUGGUUCCACAGCCUGUUUCAGCCACCUUGAUGUGUGUAGGAACAAACUGUUCUCAUCCACCCAUUCCAUCAGGGAGAGACCCAGAGAAGGUGACUCUCCCAUGUUCUGGAGUUUGCUGCAACAGCACUACGUUACCUAUAAACAGGAGCAUGUUGAGGACCUCAAGGAAAUCCCACUUCAAUUUUGAUGUUACUCUGCACAUUCUACAUGAUGGAAAAUAUCUUGGGAUGCCAGCUCUUUGAGGCCAGGGUUGAUUUCCUGUAUGUUCCACAUGCUUAGCAUGUUAUGAGCCUUCAGUAAACAGGGAUGGAUGGAUGGCAUUCAGCACUUUGAAGAUGAGAAGCAUACUUGAAGUGGCUCCAGCUCUAUUUAGUAAAGCAUUGGUAACAAAUGAAAGGAAGCAAAGAUCAGUCUUACUUGCUGCUGACAAACAGCCAGCUCAGAUGUACCUCCUCCUUUGCUCCUGACUGUGGAAGCCACUGUAAUGUGUGGAAUUUGGAGAGCACAGUCUUUUUGCUUCUAGAAUAGAAGCCUCAGUUAUGCAUAUUGCUCCCCCCCCCCCCCUUCAGGCAGCAUGGCUUGGAUGUUGCUUUCCAAAUGAAAGCAGCUCUGGAAGGUCAUUGGGAACAGUAAAUUGUGAUUAUGCUGG